rnacentral:rRNA from 1 species
UACGUAGGGUGCAAACGUUAUUCGGAAUCACUGGGCUUACAGGGUGCGUAGGCGGCUUGCUAAGUAGGGUGUGAAAGCCCCCGGCUCAACCGGGGAAUGGCGCCCUAAACUGGCGAGCUGGAGUGAGAUAGGGGUGUGCGGAACUUCCGGUGGAGCGGUGAAAUGUGUUGAUAUCGGAAGGAACGCCGGUGGCGAAAGCGGCACACUGGAUCUCAACUGACGCUGAGGCACGAAAGCCAGGGGAGCGAACGGG